AUACGUAGGGGGCGAGCGUUGUCCGGAAUGAUUGGGCGUAAAGGGCGCGUAGGCGGCCCGGUAAGUCUGGAGUGAAAGUCCUGUUUUUAAGAUGGGAAUUGCUUUGGAUACUGUCGGGCUUGAGUGCAGGAGAGGUAAGUGGAAUUCCCAGUGUAGCGGUGAAAUGCGUAGAGAUUGGGAGGAACACCAGUGGCGAAGGCGACUUACUGGACUGUAACGGACGCUGAGGCGCGAAAGUGUGGAGAGCAAACUGGAUUAGAUACCCUGGUAGUCCUGGCCGUAAACGAUGGGUACUAGGUGUGGGAGGUAUCGCCUCCUUCCGUGCCGGAGUUAACGCAAUAAGUACCCCGCCUGGGGAGUACGGCCGCAAGGCUUAAGCUCAAAUGAAUUGACGGGG
rnacentral:rRNA from 1 species